rnacentral:rRNA from 1 species
CAGUAGCCACGGUAAUACGAGGGGGGCAAGCGUUGUUCGGAAUUAUUGGGCGUAAAGGGUGCGUAGGCGGUUUGGCAAGUCUUAUGUGAAAUCUUCGGGCUCAACCCGAAGUCUGCAUGAGAAACUGCCGGGCUUGAGUAUGGGAGAGGUGAGUGGAAUUUCCGGUGUAGCGGUGAAAUGCGUAGAUAUCGGAAGGAACACCUGUGGCGAAAGCGGCUCACUGGACCAUAACUGACGCUGAGGCACGAAAGCUAGGGGAGCAAACAGGAUUAGAUACCCGCGUAGUCCCUGUCUCUUAUAC